rnacentral:lncRNA from 1 species
UGGGCGCAAUUUGAAUGUUUGUAGAGGGUAUAUAAACUUGAUAAGUUUGUGGUUCUUUUCAUAUAUCUUUCAAGUGUGUACGUGAAAUACUUUUGAAAAUACAGCCUUUUCAAAACGAAUGAAUCAUUUAUAAUGAAAGGAUAAAUGAUUCUUUAGUUUAACUUGAGAUCUGCAAGUAAGGGGAAACCACGACAUCUUCUUGGGCCCGUCUGUUGAACUGAAAACUUAUAAAUGUUUUACGUUGUAAGCAGUAGAUGGACUUAAGCUCCUUGCACUUCAGAAAACUCCGAGAAUUGAUGAAGCUAAAGAAUCUCUGAAAUGAAGUGAACUGCUGUUAUGUUGAUACGCAUUUUAUUGAAAGUUCGUGCGGUUCUUAUGUUUUGAUUGUGGGAGUAUACGAAUCAUUGUGUAUCGUGUAAUUAUCCAAUUUAGCACUAUUAUGCUUUAAUGAAACGAAGAUGUGUAAGCUAAAAUCGUGGCUAAAAAAUUGUGUUUGAAUUAGAAGCUGUGCAAUGAAUUUUGUGUCUGAAUAUUAGUUUAAUAAUGUAUAGUUUCCGAAAUUAAAGCUGAAUUAUUGUGUUACUGAUGUAUUGGUGCAAUAAAUGGGAUAUUAAAUGGAAAUGCAUAUAGCUGUUGAGAGCUGAUGUAAAUUCAGAACCAAAAAACGAGUUGUAAAAAAUCGGGACAGGGAUUGAAAAUUCGGGACUUCCCCGGGAAAUUCUGGAUGUAUGGUCACCUUAUUACAGUGAUGUCGAACGUAUGGCACGUGUGCCACAGUCGGCACGCAGAGCUUCAUCAGCCAGCACGCGACCAAAAUAUUACUUCCUUGAUCAAUAAUCACAAUAAAAUGAUACUAUUUAAUUUAAAUAAGUGUUUUAGUUUGUUCUUGAACGUUUCACUUACUUAUCGCAUAAUGCCACCGGCAUAGGGCCCAAGCCUAGAUAUAAGAUUUUCAUAUGUCACCAUAGAAAUGAUAUACAUAUUUAUUGACCCAGUUUAAGACGUUUCAAUUGUUUGUGCCAAUCAUAUUACUUGCUACAUGGCGAAGAAUACGACAAAGUUGAAGCAGCUAAUGUUUACUAAACAAAUUCAAAUAUAUUGCAGACUGCCAGUGAGUUUUAAUACUUUCAUUGUUAAAUAGAUUCCAGUUUUCAGAUCUAAGCAUGAGGUAACUUAUGAAUAAUUCUGAUUUAAUAGCUUAAAUGGAAUGGCAUGCGGCUAUUACAUUUGGGGCACGUGGCCCCAGAAAGGUUCGCCACCACUGCCUUAGGCCUGCAUGGAAAUGCUGCAGAAGCCCAGUCGGAAGAAUUUUUCAGUAAUCCAGGUAUUGUUAGUGAAUGUCGGUAAAGGUUUAAGAAGUUUCAAAGGGGAAAUUUUUUAUCAUGCCUCACCAGUAAAGAAAUAAGAGCUUCAUUGUGCGCAAUCAACAGCUGUAUAUCACUUUAAAAUAAAUCGGAAUGUUUUUUCAUGCUGAUUCUGUCAUUCCACAUUGAACUUAAGUUGGUAAACAUCAGCACCAUAUAUCACUUUGAACUUCUCAGUUGAUAAGAAAUUAAAUAAAUCCUUUUCUAAGGUAGAAUAUGACUGGAGAU